UGCUUCGGGCAGCGACGGCGCGCCUCUCCCGCGAGUCAUCAGAUUCGGCUCGAGUGCGGCACGGCCUCGGCCGAGACCCGGUUGGUUUCUUGUGCUGCGUACCCGCGCGAAGGGCAUGCUUCUCUCUGGUCCCAACUGUCCCUCUGUUCGUCCGCUGCUCCCCCCUUCGGGGCGGGGCACGCGACGGAACUCGUAGCCCGGUCCGUUACCCGCGUCGCCUCGGGCUGUCGCGGUGAGCGGGCAGUGCCCGAACUCUCGGAUGCGGAAAGCACCGGGGGGCGCCGGCGACGCGCGUCGUCCUCGCGCCCGAGCGAAGCACUCAGACCCACGACCCAGCAGACGACCGUCCCUCCCGUCGCGGCCCGGCCGCCCGGGAUGGGACGUCGCCGAGGAAUGCUACCUGGUUGAUCCUGCCAGU
rnacentral:misc_RNA from 1 species